GCCAGUGUGGCAUAGUGGUCUGAAUGUUGGAUUGUGAUUAUGGAGGCCAGGGUUCAGUUCCCUGCUCAGCCA